rnacentral:pre_miRNA from 1 species
AGAGGGAUAGCUGGGUCAAAUAGUGGUUCCAUUUCCAAUUUUCCAAGAAAUCUCCAUACUGCUUUUCAUAUUGGCUGCACCAAUUUGCAAUCCCACCAGCAGU